rnacentral:rRNA from 1 species
UACGAAGGGUGCAAACGUUGCUCGGAAUCAUUGGGCGUAAAGCGCACGUAGGCGGCUUCAAAAGUCGGAUGUGAAAUCCCUCGGCUCAACCGAGGACGUGCAUCCGAAACUGCGGAGCUUGAGUAUGGAAGAGGGUCGCGGAAUUCCCGGUGUAGAGGUGAAAUUCGUAGAUAUCGGGAGGAACACCAGUGGCGAAGGCGGCGACCUGGGCCAAUACUGACGCUGAGGUGCGAAAGCGUGGGGAGCAAACAGG